rnacentral:rRNA from 1 species
AAAUAAGCUGUCUCAGUUAUAAUGAUUGAAUUUAACUUUUAAGUGAAAAGGCUUAAAUAAUCUGAGGGGACGAUAAGACCCUAUAAAGCUUUACGAUUUGGUUAUUAAAUUGAAAAUUGUAAGUUUAAAUUUGAUUUAAACAUUUGUUUCGUUGGGGCGACGAGAAUAAAACUAGUAACUGUUCUUUUUUAAUAUUACAAAUAUAAUUGUACGAAAAUUGAUCCCUUACUAAGGAUUAAAAGUUUAAGUUACUUUAGGGAUAACAGCGUAAUCUUUUUUGAGAGUCCUUAUCGACAAAAAGGGU